AAUAUAAUAAUAAUAAUAAUAAUAAUAAUAAUAAUAAUAAUAAUAAUAAGAAUGACAAUUUAGUUAUACAGGGGAAGUGGAUGUUGUGAUGUCGAUGCUUUUCCCCAGGGCAUUAGCAAAAUAAGUGAAGCUGUUUCAGCCAGGAAUCAAAACCUACUCAGAUUUCACUGUAUAAUAAUAAUAAUAAUAAUAAUAAUAAUAAUAA